rnacentral:rRNA from 1 species
UACAGAGGUCUCAAGCGUUGUUCGGAUUCAUUGGGCGUAAAGGGUGCGUAGGCGGCGCGGUAAGUCGGGUGUGAAAUCUCGGGGCUUAACUCCGAAACUGCAUUCGAUACUGCCGUGCUUGAGGACUGGAGAGGAGACUGGAAUUUACGGUGUAGCGGUGGAAUGCGCAGAUAUCAGGAGGAACACCGGUGGCGAAGGCGGGUCUCUGGGCAGUAACUGACGCUGAGGAGCGAAAGCGUGGGGAGCGAACAGG